GGAUAUUUGGUGCCUCUGUUGAUCAGAUUUGAGAAGGGUUUUAAUCUGCACUUACUUUAAAAAAGGAGACGAGAAAGGAAGCCAAGCUUUGCCUGGGGCGACAACAGGGAAGAUGAUGAGGAUGAUGAUGAGGAUGAUUAUGAUGAUGAUGGUAUAACUUGGGAGGUCAAAGGUGAGGAUUGAAAAACAUAGCUUCAAUUGUUCCCCCUGAGUUGUUAACUAUCUUGACUGGGACUCCUCCUUUUUAUGUAGUUUUUUAGUUAAGUUAGCAAUGUCAUCCUGUCUAUAUUUUCAAAACAAUUUCCAGAUGUAUCUACUGUAUGCUUUUUUAAAUCUCCAGCAUCAGUAAAAAUUCAACCUCCAACAAGAGCUCAGCU